rnacentral:misc_RNA from 1 species
UUUCCGUAGGUGAACCUGCGGAAGGAUCAUUAAAGAGUAAGGGUCUCCGGGCCCGAUCUCCAACCCUUUGUUUAAUUACCAUGUUGCUUUGGCGGGCCCGUCUCACGACCGCCGGAAGUUUGGUCUCAACCAGACUUCUGGCCCGUGCCCGUCAGCGGCCCCUUCAAAUUCUUGAUUAAAUAUGAUGUCUUAGUUAUAAACUUAAUAGUUAAAACUUUCAACAACGGAUCUCUUGGUUCUG